GCCCCCGUAGUUAAAUGGAUAUAACGGGGUCCUCCUAAGACUCAGAUGUAGGUUCGAUUCCUACCGGGGGUGCCA
rnacentral:tRNA from 1 species